GGCUCGGUGGUGUAGUCGUCUUACACCGCGGUGCCCCGGGUGGGCCGGAGACGCGGGUUCGAAUCCUGCCUGAGCCG
rnacentral:tRNA from 1 species